AUAUCAAUAAGCGGAGGAAAAGAAACCAACAGGGAUUGCCUCAGUAACGGCGAGUGAAGCGGCAAAAGCUCAAAUUUGAAAUCUAGUACCUUUGGUGCUCGAGUUGUAAUUUGAAGAUAGUUUUCUGGUACUGGCCCUUGUCUAUGUUCCUUGGAACAGGACGUCAUAGAGGGUGAGAAUCCCGUCUGAUGGGGUGUCCAGUGCUUUGUAGAUUUCUAUCGAAGAGUCGAGUUGUUUGGGAAUGCAGCUCUAAGUGGGUGGUAAAUUCCAUCUAAAGCUAAAUACUGGCGAGAGACCGAUAGCGAACAAGUACAGUGAUGGAAAGAUGAAAAGAACUUUGAAAAGAGAGUGAAAAAGUACGUGAAAUUGUUGAAAGGGAAGGAUAUUGGAUCAGACUUGGUGUUUUGUGAUUAUCUUCCCUUCUUGGGUUGUGCACUCGCAUUUCACUGGGCCAGCAUCGGUUCGGAUGGCAAGAUAAUGGCUUGGGAACGUGGCACUCUUCGGAGUGUGUUAUAGCCCUUGUUGAUGUUGCCUAUCUGGACCGAGGACUGCGGCUUCUGCCUAGGAUGCUGGCGUAAUGAUUCAAU
rnacentral:rRNA from 2 species